rnacentral:tRNA from 1 species
GCAGUGGUGGUUCGGUGGUAGAAUUCUCGCCUUCCACGCAAAAGACCUCGGUUUGAUUCCUGGCCAAUGCA